rnacentral:rRNA from 1 species
GACGAACGCUGGCGGCGUGCUUAACACAUGCAAGUCGAACGGUGAACCUCUUCGGAGGGGAUCAGUGGCGAACGGGUGAGUAACACGUGGGCAACCUGCCCCCGGCUCUGGGAUAACUCCAAGAAAUUGGGGCUAAUACCGGAUGUUCACCGCUUCCCGCAUGGGUGGUGGUGGAAAGGGUUUCCGGCUGGGGAUGGGCCCGCGGCCUAUCAGCUUGUUGGUGGGGUAGUGGCCUACCAAGGCGACGACGGGUAGCCGGCCUGAGAGGGUGACCGGCCACACUGGGACUGAGACACGGCCCAGACUCCUACGGGAGGCAGCAGUGGGGAAUAUUGCGUAAUGGGCGGAAGCCUGACGCAGCGACGCCGCGUGGGGGAUGACGGCCUUCGGGUUGUAAACCUCUUUCAGCAGGGACGAAGCGCAAGUGACGGUACCUGCAGAAGAAGCACCGGCCAACUACGUG